UAGUCCACGCCGUAAACGAUGUCAACUAGCCGUCGGGCUCAUUUAAGGGUUUGGUGACGUAGCUAACGCAUUAAGUAUCCCGCCUGGGGAGUACGGUCGCAAGAUUAAAACUCAAAGGAAUUGACGGGGGCCCGCACAAGCGGUGGAGCAUGUGGUUUAAUUCGAUGCUACGCGAAAAACCUUACCUGGACUUGACAUCCCGCGCUACCCUGGGAAACCAGGGGUUCUCUUCGGAGACGCGGUGACAGGUGCUGCAUGGCUGUCGUCAGCUCGUGUUGUGAGAUGUUGGGUUAAGUCCCGCAACGAGCGCAACCCUCGUCGUUAGUUACCAUCAUUAAGUUGGGCACUCUAACGAUACCGCUAGGCUAUAAGCCAGAGGAAGGUGGGGAUGACGUCAAGUCCUCAUGGCCUUUAUGUCCAGGGCUACACACGUGCUACAAUGGAAAGUACAAUGCGCUGCUACUACGCGAGUAGAUGCUAAUCGCAAAAAACUUUCUCAGUUCGGAUUGGAGUCUGCAA
rnacentral:rRNA from 1 species